rnacentral:misc_RNA from 1 species
GAUGAAGAACGCAGUGAAAUGCGAUACGUAGUGUGAAUUGCAGAAUUCAGUGAAUCAUCGAAUCUUUGAACGCACAUUGCACCUCUCGGUAUUCCGGGAGGUAUGCCUGUUCGAGCGUCAUUUGUACCCUCAAGCUCUGCUUGGUGUUGGGUGUUUGUUCCGCCUCUGUGUGUGAACUCGCCUCAAAACAAUUGGCAGCCGGCGUACUUGUUUCGGAGCGCAGCACAUUUUGCGAUCCAGAUCAACGUACAGCGGCAUCCAAGAGGCCUUAUUUAACGCUCUUGACCUCGGAUCAGGUAGGGAUACCCGCUGAACUUAAGCAUAUCAAUAAGCGGAGGA